UACGUAGGGGGCAAGCGUUGUCCGGAUUUAUUGGGCGUAAAGAGCGUGUAGGCGGCCUGAAAGGUCAGCUGUGAAAACUCGAGGCUCAACCUCGAGACGUCGGUUGAAACCAUCUGGCUAGAGUCCGGAAGAGGAGAGUGGAAUUCCCGGUGUAGCGGUGAAAUGCGCAGAUAUCGGGAAGAACACCCGUGGCGAAGGCGGCUCUCUGGGACGGUACUGGACGCUGAGACGCGAAAAGCGUGGGGGAGCGAACAGGG
rnacentral:rRNA from 1 species